rnacentral:lncRNA from 1 species
CUCUCUGCAUCGCUGUCCUGCGGGGAGAGACAUUUCUGCAAUUUGCCAGGGACCCUGGCAACGAAAUACUCACUCAGACUCACUGUUCUUUCUGGUGGAGAUGUCUCCUGUUUGACCUGCAUCUAAACGGUGGAUCCUGUCAGGAGGAAGCGCGUGGAUCUGUGAGGGUUCCUGCUCUUCUGUCUUAGACCAUCUGCUCUGGGUGAAGAGAGCAGAGUCUGCAUUCCCUCCAGGGUCCCCCUUGGAGACGCAGAGGCAGAGAAGGACGUCUCCUCUGGGCUGGUCCUUCGGGAGAACGGGGAGGAACUGCGUCCCUGGAAAGUUUCCUGCUUCCACCUUCGCCCAGCCUGCCCUUGAGGUGGGAGAGGCGGGCGCUGUUGCAGCUUCCAAAGGACCAGAGAUGGCAGAUUUGUACCUUGAAGCUGGCUUGGGCUCCGUCCCCUUGGCCAAG